rnacentral:rRNA from 1 species
CCUACGGGGGGCAGCAGUGGGGAAUAUUGCACAAUGGGGGAAACCCUGAUGCAGCGACGCCGCGUGAGUGAAGAAGUAUCUCGGUAUGUAAAGCUCUAUCAGCAGGGAAGAAAAUGACGGUACCUGACUAAGAAGCCCCGGCUAACUACGUGCCAGCAGCCGCGGUAAUACGUAGGGGGCAAGCGUUAUCCGGAUUUACUGGGUGUAAAGGGAGCGUAGACGGAGCUGCAAGUCCGGAGUGAAAGCCCAUGGCUUAACCAUGGAACUGCUCUGGAAACUGUGGAGCUUGAGUGUGUGAGAGGAUAGUGGAAGUCCAGGUGUAGGAGUGAAAUCCGUAGAUAUCUGGAGGAACAUCAGUGGCGAAGGCGACUAUCUGGCACAUAACUGACGCUGAGGAGCGAAAGCGUGGGUAGCAAACAGGAUUAGAUACCCGUGUAGUC